GGGAAGUGCAGGCAGACUAUACAUGCAGUCGAGCGGACAGAUGGGAGCUUGCUCCCUGAUGUCUAGCGGCGGACCGUUGAGUAACACGUGGGUAACCUGCCUGUAAGACUGGGAUAACUCCGGGAAACCGGGGCUAAUACCGGAUGCUUGAUUGAACCGCAUGGUUCAAUUAUAAAAGGUGGCUUCUGCUUCCCCUUACAGAAGGGACCCCGGCGCCUUCACUAAGUGGGGAGGGAACCGGCCGCCAAGGGGAACUAGCGUUACCAUCCUGAGAGGGGUAAUGGCCUUGAUGGCAAGUAUAUGUUCCCAUAACUUCUUUAUCUUAGUACUGGAUUGGUAUUCUCCAUUAACCUCAAAAAGCUUACUAAACACCUGCGGGGGUUGCGAAUGGGUCACGACCUAAACCCUCUUCUCACGAAAUUAACCUUUUACGCCAUAACGGCCGUCCUCCCCAUCAGGAUACCCAAUCUCCAGAUCUGU
rnacentral:rRNA from 1 species